rnacentral:rRNA from 1 species
UACGGGGGGGGCAAGCGUUGUUCGGAAUUACUGGGCGUAAAGGGCUCGUAGGUGGCCAACUAAGUCAGACGUGAAAUCCCUCGGCUUAACCGGGGAACUGCGUCUGAUACUGGAUGGCUUGAGUUCGGGAGAGGGAUGCGGAAUUCCAGGUGUAGCGGUGAAAUUCGUAGAUAUCGAGAGGAACACCGGUGGCGAAGGCGGCCAACUGGACGAAGACUGACGCUGAGACACGAAAGCGUGGGGAGCAAACAGG